CUAUCCCAGAGGCUGCCGAAGAUGGGGAGCUGAUGUGAAAAUUGAAGCAAUUACCCAGAUCACUCAGGCAGAAGAAUGUCUGAGGCUUUUUUUCCCUUGAACAAUCCAGAUAAUUGCUUCAAUUUACACUUCUUACUGGUGGUGGAGAUGGGUACAGACAUAGCUCUCCAGGAAUGGGCUGAAUAGAGGGAAACGGUGCUUGGAAAAUGAGUCUGAUAACUCAGGGGGAGAAAACACUGGGAAAAAUUCACAUGCUUCGGCCUUGAUUUCUACCAGCCUCAAGCAAGUCAAAGUGAGACUGUUCAUUGUUGCCUGAGUGAUCUAGCAGCUGACCUGGAAUGAAAAAUAAAGGAUCCUGAACCAAAGGCUCCAUCUGCAAUGCAACAUCAUUUCUUUCAGGAUCACCUUCCUUUAACAUGUUCGGAGGAAGAAGCGUUGGUCUCACAUCCUCCCAAGGGAAGCCCACCUCUCCUCUGUGGUUGCAUUCAAAACCCUCUUUCAGCUUUGCUGUGGAAUGGCUACUCUGUCUGAUCUUAUCACUGCUGCAUCUCUGGGAUUCUGGUCCUCCUGCAACACGAUGCUGCUGUUGCUGCUGGCACCGCUGCCAUGUCCAUCUCAGCCAGGAGCUGGUGGGGCAGGAGACUGUUUUUGUCUUUGCCUUGGGCUGUAAUUCCUUCAAGCACCACUGACAGACUGAGGGGUGCAGAGACUUCACUGGAGGAGACUUUAUCAUGGGGGAAAAUCCUCAAAACUAGGUUCCAUUUUUCACUUUUCCCAGAGUCCAAGGGUCCAGGAUCAUCCACAAGACACAAUACUCCUCACCAGUACAUUUUCUGGAUGUUAUUUAUGGACCAAUAAAUUUUGAAUUGACAGUGGCAUCUAGAUCAGUGCUGUUCAAUAAAAAUAUCUCAUGAGCUACAUAUGUAAUUCAAACAUUUCUGGAAGUCAAUGUAAAAAAGGAAAAAGAAACACAGGUGAUGUUUUAUUCAAUUAUUUAAUAUAUUUUAUUUAACCCAAUAUAUCCAAAGCAUUUCCAUUUCAACAUGUAACCAAUAAAAAUAAUUAUUAAUGAAAUAUUUUACAGUCAUUUUCACACUGUCUUCAAAGUCCUGUUUGUAUUUUACACUGACUGCUCAUUUUGUUAUGGACAUUAAAUUUUUAUUAGAAAUACUUGAUCUGUGUUUAGAUUUUAUAAAAUUUACAGUUGAAAAUGUG
rnacentral:lncRNA from 1 species